rnacentral:rRNA from 1 species
GACAGAGGGUGCAAACGUUGCUCGGAAUCACUGGGCGUAAAGGGCGUGUAGGCGGUAAGGAAAGUCAGAUGUGAAAUCCCCAGGCUCAACCUGGGAACUGCAUUUGAAACUCCCUUUCUUGAGUAUCGGAGAGGAAAGCGGAAUUCCUGGUGUAGAGGUGAAAUUCGUAGAUAUCAGGAGGAACACCAGCGGCGAAGGCGGCUUUCUGGACGAUAACUGACGCUGAGACGCGAAAGCGUGGGGAGCAAACAGG